CCUACGGGAGGCAGCAGUGGGGAAUAUUGCACAAUGGGGGAAACCCUGAUGCAGCGACGCCGCGUGAGUGAAGAAGUAAUUCGGUAUGUAAAGCUCUAUCAGCAGGGAAGAAAAUGACGGUACCUGAGUAAGAAGCCCCGGCUAACUACGUGACAGCAGCCGCGGUAAUACGUAGGGGGCAAGCGUUAUACGGAUUUACUGGGUGUAAAGGGGGCGGAGACGGCAGGGGAAGUCUGGAGUGAAAGGCGGGGGCUCAACCCCGGGACUGCUGUGGAAACUGUAGAGCUUGAGUGCUGGAGAGGUAAGUGGAAUUCCUAGUGUAGCGGUGAAAUGCGUAGAUAUUAGGAGGAACACCAGUGGCGAAGGCGGCUUACUGGACUGUAACUGACGUUGAGGCUCGAAAGCGUGGGGAGCAAACAGGAUUAGAUACCCGUGUAGUC
rnacentral:rRNA from 1 species